UGAGAUUCUCCUAAUGAUACCUAGAGAGAAAAGCUCCCGGAUUUCGACGUCCAACUUGAGAGUGUCAACCGAAGUGAAUACAUAGUUAUCUACUACUGAAAACUCCGAUUGGUUUUUUAUUUACAUCAGAAGAACCUGAACCCGAAUGAUGAGAUGGCGAGCUUGUCCCUGAUCGUGGAUGCGGUGUGGCCAACCGUUUAAUCCAGAUCGAACCUGCUUCGUGUAUCGAAGACAUCAUACUCCAGUCCUGCCAUCAGGUAGACAGGUAGAACUGAGUAAAGAGACAUAAAGACCCGGACCAGAACAGAACCGUUGCACCUUCACGCACACACACAAUUCAAGGACUGUACAUACGAUAUCCGGGGAACUGUACAUAUGCACACCGAAAGGACUGAAUCAUUUUCAAGAUUUAUAUAAUAUUUACUGUUGUUUCUAUUUUAUACUGUUUAAUACUGUUUAUAUUGUGAUUGUUCUGUGACUGUUUGUAGACAAUAGACUGGUCAAUUGUUCAACUUGUUCUGUGAAAUAAGCUUACCUCUCCUACGAACCUAGGAAGAUAUCUAUUACUUUUUCUAACACUAGCCCAGACUACAAGUGCUACAUUAAUAUUAAUGAUUAUUCAUUAAACAAUAAAGGGUUUUCGAGUUCGAGCACAGGCUAUCAUAAUCCAGCUGUAUUCACACACAUAUGCACAAAUAAUCACAGACUACAGAUGCUUUAAUUAGAAAAGCAUUUAUUAAAAAGGGGAAAUACCUGCGGUCUACCUAUGUAUGUCUGUCUCUGUGUGUGUGUGUCUGUGUCAAAGUGUC